rnacentral:tRNA from 1 species
AAGGCCUUAACUUAAUUAAAGUGUUCGGUUUGCAUCCGUGCUAUGUGGGAUAGAGUCCCGCAGGUCUUA